UGGGGAAUCUUGCGCAAUGGUCUAACGACUGACGCAGCGACGCCGCGUGUGGGAGGACGCCUUUCGGGGUGUAAACCACUGUUGCCCGGGACGAACAGGGUCAUUCAUGGCCCCUGACGGUACCGGGUGAGGAAGCACCGGCUAACUCCGUGCCAGCAGCCGCGGUAAUACGGAGGGUGCGAGCGUUGUCCGGAAUCAUUGGGCGUAAAGGGCGCGUAGGUGGCUUCUUAAGCGUGCGGUGAAAGCCUGGGGCUCAACCCCGGGUCGGCCGUGCGAACUGGGGGGCUGGAGCACUGUAGAGGCAGGCGGAAUUCCGGGUGUAGCGGUGGAAUGCGUAGAGAUCCGGAAGAACACCGGUGGCGAAGGCGGCCUGCUGGGCAGUUGCUGACACUGAGGCGCGACAGCGUGGGGAGCAAACA
rnacentral:rRNA from 1 species